UACGUAGGGUGCAAGCGUUGUCCGGAAUUAUUGGGCGUAAAGAGCUCGUAGGCGGUUUGUCACGUCGGCCGUGAAAACUCGGGGCUCAACCCCGAGCCCGCGGUCGAUACGGGCAGACUAGAGUGCUGUAGGGGAGACUGGAAUUCCUGGUGUAGCGGUGAAAUGCGCAGAUAUCAGGAGGAACACCGGUGGCGAAGGCGGGUCUCUGGGCAGUAACUGACGCUGAGGAGCGAAAGCGUGGGGAGCGAACAGG
rnacentral:rRNA from 1 species